rnacentral:rRNA from 1 species
AGGCAGCAGUGGGGAAUAUUGGACAAUGGGCGCAAGCCUGAUCCAGCCAUGCCGCGUGAGUGAUGAAGGCCCUAGGGUUGUAAAGCUCUUUCACCGGUGAAGAUAAUGACGGUAACCGGAGAAGAAGCCCCGGCUAACUUCGUGCCAGCAGCCGCGGUAA